rnacentral:rRNA from 1 species
GUGAGGAUCCACCUCUUCCCAUUCCGAACAGAGAAGUUAAGCUCACCCGCGCCGAUGGUACUGACCCACCAGUUGGGAGAGUAGGUCGCCGCCGUUU